rnacentral:ncRNA from 1 species
GUUGAGCCUUGGUAUGGAAACCUACUAAGUGAGAACUUUCAAAUUCAGAGAAACCCUGGAAUUAAAAAUGGGCAAUCCUGAGCCAAAUCCUGUUUUACGAGAAAAUAAACAAAGGUUCGGAAAGAAUUUAAAUAAAAAAGGGAUAGGUGCAGAGACUCAAUGGAAGCUGUUCUAACAAAUGGGGUUUGACUACCUUUGCAUUAGUGAAUCCUUCUAUUGAAACUACAGAAAGGAUGACCUAUACGCAUACCUAAAGGUAAUAAAAAACUAUUAAAAAAAAAAAAGACGACCCAAACCCGUAUUUCUAUAUAUUUCUAUUUUUCAUAAAAAUAUAUAGAAUUUUUUUUUGAAUUAGUAUUGAUUCUAAGUUGAAGAAAGAAUCGAAUACAACAUUCAUUAAUAAAAUAAUUCACCCCAUAGUUUGAGAAAUCUUUUGAACAACUGGUUAAUCGGACGAGAAUAAAGAUAGAGUCCCGUUCUACAUGUCAAUAUCAAUACUGACAACAAUGAAAUUUAUAGUAAGAGGAAAAUCCGUCGACUUUUUAAAUCGUGAGGGUUCAAGUCCCUAGCCGUUGACGCCCU